GAUGAACGCUAGCGGGAGGCUUAAUACAUGCAAGUCGAGCGGUAAUUUAGGAAUAGCAAUAUUUCUGAGCUAGAGCAGCGCACGGGUGAGUAACGCGUACACGACCUGCCCUUUACUGGGGGAUAGCCUUGGGAAACUGAGAUUAAUACCCCAUGGUAUUAUUAUGCUGCAUGGUAUAAUAAUUAAAGCUGAGGCGGUAAAGGAUGGGUGUGCGUCUGAUUAGCUAGUUGGUAGGGUAACGGCCUACCAAGGCGAUGAUCAGUAGGGGGCGUGAGAGCGUGACCCCCCACACGGGUACUGAGACACGGACCCGACUCCUACGGGAGGCAGCAGUAAGGAAUAUUGGUCAAUGGAGGGAACUCUGAACCAGCCAUCCCGCGUGCAGGAUGAAGGGGCUCUGCCCUGUAAAACUUCUUU
rnacentral:rRNA from 1 species